rnacentral:tRNA from 1 species
GCGGGAAUGGCGGAAUUGGCAGACGCACCAGACUUAGGAUCUGGCGCCGCAAGGCGUGGAGGUUCAAGUCCUCUUUCCCGCA